GCCCAGAUGGGAUUUCUAUGGGUACUGGUGGGAUUGAUGGGCAUGGGGAGAGGCUGGGGAAAUGGAUGGUUUUCAUCUGGGACACAGAUGGGUUUCCCACAUCAGUAAAUAUUUUCUAUAGCGCUAUAACAGCAAAAAAAAAAAUGUCUAAACGACCGAGAAAUUUAACAAUUAUUAAGAAAUGUACACGUGAUCUGCCAAACAUAUGAUCCAUGGGUGCAACGUGGGACCUCUAUGGGUUUCCCACACGAAUACUAUUUUUUCCAUUAAUACUGCAACAAUGAAAUAUAUUGUCAGAACUAUUGUAAAAUAAUCUUGGAGGCAAUUCCUUUAAGAUUUAUAUGUUGUCUGGCAAAUGAAUAUGGGUGCAACAUAGGACCCAUGUGGGCUUCCCACAAUGGUAUAUUACAACUGAAAUGGUUGUACGAUUGUUUAAUUGUUUUUUUUUUUUUUUUUUUUUUGUAGGCAAGAGAAAUAGGUAAUUGGUGCAGACAUUUGUAAAUGAGUUUGCAUGGCAAUGAUAUUUCUUGAUCUUGAUGGUACAGGUGGCCCGGGAUCACUCAUACCAGGUCUUUGGAUCGGCAACUCCUGUAGAAGGGAAACAAAGAGAAACGAACAGCAUCUUCUACACUUAUUUCUGGCACGCCACAUUCUCUCCAGAAACUCUUUCACCGCCUCAAUCAUCCUUUCAUUCGUCUCUCUACACAGUUCCAGCAACAACACCAUUCACUCCUUUCCUGUCUUCACUCUUUCAUUCCUAUCAUGCCUUAACUCAGUCAGUAUAACUUGCAUCAUCUCAUUCCUCUCUAGCAUACUUCACACACUCCAGCACCACAUGUUCCACCGUCUCAUCUUCUCCCAUGUCACACAUCUGGCACACUUUGCUGCAGGACUCGGACCAUCUGUAACUCCUUGCGUUCACAUCCAUACUCUGUGCCAUCGUUCGGAAGAGAUCACCGCCCGGCCUUCCAUCAUACCACCUUUCAUACCUCGAGGCCCCUUCCUCCUGGUACCAUUCCAGGAUCUUCUUUCUUUCCAUCUGAUUCUUCCAUUCAUUCAGUCCCACACAUUUCACUUCUUUUUCUAUAUCAUUCUUCCAUUUUCUCAUGUUCCAUUCAGCUCCCACUCUGCCUCCUCUUGUUAACACCAAUUCACGCUCAUUUUGACUCUUCCCAGCCAUUCUUAUCGCCCACAUAACUUGCAAUCCAUUCCUGCCUGUCAUUCUCAUGCACCUCUUCCUCUGUUUGCUUCCAGUUUCAUUCCACAGGUACACCUUCCUUGCUAUUCUUGCAUCAUCCAUUCUCUCAAGCCUAAUCAUGUACCUAAGUGUGGCUUUUAUGAGUCUUUCCCGAAAGGUGCUCCAUCCCAUAUCACCUCUCAAGGCUUCAACUGCUGUGCACCUCGGUGCACUCAGCGCCAUCCUUGCUACUCUAUUCUGGCCCACUUCUAACUUCUCAAUUUAACAUUCAUUCCAUGCAGUCACAUCCAUACCAUACAUUAUACUUGCCACAGCCACAGUCUUCCACACUUCUCUCAACACAUCAUACUUGCUCUCAUCCUUGCCGCUCUUCCCAAUCGACCUACCCACUGGUUUAACAUACUUAUCUUUUCAUUCUUUGUCUUUGCACACCCACUAGGACUCAUCCACAUCCCUAUAAGUACUCGUAUUCUUGCACCUGUUUGAACUCAUUCUCUCCAAGUCUCCAUACCACAUUACUUUCAUCCUCUGACCUAUUCACAAUCAUUACCUUGCUUUUCUCACUGCUAAAUCUUACUCCAAAGUCUUUUCCAUACCUAUCCACAAUAUCCAACAAACUUUGAAGCUCAUCUGCCGAUUCACUCAACAACUACAUCAUCUGCAUAAAGAAGCACACAUACUUUAUCAUUCCCCACACUUAUCCCUACAUUCAUUCUUCUCAUUCUAGCUGCUAACUCCUCUGUAUUCAGGCUAAAAAGGGUUGGUGAUAACAUACAGCCUUGCCUAAUUCCUCUCUCACUCUUCUUAAAAGGUCGACAUUUAGGCCCAGCGGGUGCUGUUACUGCUGUAAACAAAACGCUGGUAGGUUUAGAUAGAUAGCAGACAGGGAUGGAAACAAAGUCUACAUUAAAGUGGUACAAGUGGAAGUUGAUACCUGAGGCGCUCCACUAGCAUGUAGGAGACUGGGGCAGCAAGCUGUUAGUGAAGGCAAGGACAGGGACGCUGGAGGUGAAGGAUAGGACCAGGGUUGAGCUGGACCAGGGAUGUAAGACAUGUAGAAGGGUGAGGGAGGCUGGAACAUUUCCUGGUGGAGUGUGUCGGGUAUGAAGAAGAGAGAGACAGGUUGAUUGGCUCCGUAACUAAUCAUAGAUGAGUGGAGUAGGAGAUUAGAGGAGGAGGACGGUGGAGUCCUCAUUGCUGGACCUAUAUCAAGGAGAGAGAGGAUAGUAAAGGUGAUGAGAGUUCCUAGUACAGACGUGGAGGAAACGUAACAUGUUACAUAUGUAGUUUUGUUCGCUGUGCUGUGCUCGCCGCUCUCCCACAGGUAGUGGACGGACCAGAGCAUAACACCGAAGGGAAGGAUGACCUCAAGCGAUAAAAAGCGGAAUAGGUCACAAGAAGGGAUCGGGACGAGCCACAGACGACGUGAACGUGAUAGUUUGCGUAUAUUAUCAAGCUACUGUUACGGCAAGUCAAAGGAAAUUAUGAGAGCUUUGAAGAAAUUAAGGAUGUGUGAAGAAACCAGUGAUCUGAACGCUGAUGUGGAAGGAUCCUGCCAUAAAAGAAGGAUGAAUAGAAAAUACGUGGCUUCAGAUUCUGACUGUGAGUCCAGUGCAAUUGAUGAUCCACCUUUUUUACACAAGAUGACCUGCCAUCACCUCCAUGUUCACUUGUGUCUGCAGUCAGUGGUGAAGGUACAAAAUUUGAAGGAUUAGCAUUGCCAUCAGCUGCCACAAGUUCCACACCCAAGUCUUUGCCAGUUACCUCAAUCCUUAGCAGGACUAAUUCGCGUGAAGAUGUGAACAUCCUUACAAAUGUUGAGCAACACCCUGACCUAAGUGAGCUUGUAAGAAAACUGCCAUCACAAAUCUACAAUAUCAAAGAGACUCAUUAAGUACAUACCAGUAUACUGCAGAAUCUCAUGAAAAAAAGUGAGUGGGGUUGUUACAGAAGCUGCAACACUGCCAGAAGGUUUAAGGUUUCCUUUCGAAACAGUGGACCAGCUCGAGGAGAUGGAGACACAUCUGAUAGAUCCAGGUGUGAGGACUGGACUGGUGAAUAUUCUUGGUGAGAUUGGAGGGAGAAACACUGAUGAAUGUGUCAAGGUUCAUAAUAAGUGACACAAUGGCCACAAAACUGGAAGGAACAACAAGAAGGCAUUUGGUCCCACAAACUUAUUCGAGACUGUUUAUAGAGGAGUGAAAAAGAACUCACAGACGUCAGAUUACACGAGAUGAAAUGUGGAGCAUGUGGCGGCAAGGGAGGAAGAGAUCACAGAGGCAAUAUUGUCUGUUAAUUAGAAUAUCUGUAUGUGUAAAUCUUGUGCAAAAGGAAAUAUAAUUAUAUAUAAAACAGGUUCCUUAGUUUUGUUUACAUUUAGUAAUUAGAAGCCUUUGUUAGAGAUGAUUCAAAUCAGAACAUAGGUACAUGCAUUUCUGUCCAAAGGAAUUCUGUAUUCUGUAUUACUUUUAUCAGAUUCUAUCUAUCUAUCUAUGCCUCUAUCUGAUGCCUCAUUCCCUCCAGGAACAUCCCCCGUAGCGGUGGCCAUUGUAGAAAAGUCGUAUUACUUUUUUACUUUUAUUACUAUUAUUGCUACUAUUAUUUCUUUUAUUCUGCAUUACUUGUUUUAUAUACAAUUAUUGAUUAGCCUAGAAGAUUUUGUUUCACAAUAUUCACAGUAUAUUUGAGAAGCUUCUAUUUUUGUGACAUUAAUAUAUGGGAUAAUUUUAUAGCAGAUAGUCACAAUAUAAACACUGUCAGUUUCAUUUUACUUUCAAAAUUGUAUUGUGUUUUUGAAGAGUUUUUGUGGAAAAAAAUGUCAUUCCAUUUUGAAGUAUGUAUAUAGCAAUAAACUUAAGUUGAAUUGU